rnacentral:lncRNA from 1 species
AUAUGUGAAGGACCAAAUCCACGGUUCUAUUCGAAUUGCUGAAUAAAUGACCAAUUCUCAUGUUGAUUUCAAGUUUAGCUUAUUUCCAUACUUGUUAGUUCACAUGUUGGAUUGUAUAGUAAUAGUAUUUGAUAUUAAUUGCAUAUAACAGGACUGUUUAACCGGAUUGUAUAAUUGGGAUGUGUAAUAGAUCUUAAUUAUAGACUAUGUUAGUUCGUAUGCUAGCAUAUGUAUAGCUUCUGAUGACUGUAUAAUCUAGACUAUUGUAGAUCGCAAAAAAAAUUAUAUUUCAAUAAAAUAGGAUCCUUGAAUUUGAUGUUAAGCAAUUCAGUUUCGUGUUCUAAAAGAUUACGCUAGUUUAGAUCUGAAGAGCAAAUCUAGAAUUAAAUUGAUAAUUGUACUAAAUUUGAAUGUUUCUUUCUGUUUGUUAUUCCAAUAGAUGGGUCUGAAUUGUUUGAGGUUGUUUCAAUAAUUUUGAUUGGGCUUAUUCAUAAGCCCAAGGCUAAUAGCCCACACCACUUGUGUUGAGCUACAACAUGCAGAUGCCAGGCCUCAUCCCAGGCCAACUUCUUCUUCUCAAUUGGACUUGACUCGAGGCCCAAAGGUUGGUAGCAGUCAGAAAUGAUUUUACCUUAUGCUACUGGCCAAAUUCAAAAAAAUAACGUCAAGGACCUGAACUUACAUU